GACGAACGCUGGCGGCGUGCUUAACACAUGCGAGUCGAACGGAAAGGCCCUGCUUUUGUGGGGUGCUCGAGUGGCGAACGGGUGAGUAACACGUGAGUAACCUGCCCUUGACUUUGGGAUAACUUCAGGAAACUGGGGCUAAUACCGGAUAGGAGCUCCUGCUGCAUGGUGGGGGUUGGAAAGUUUCGGCGGUUGGGGAUGGACUCGCGGCUUAUCAGCUUGUUGGUGGGGUAGUGGCUUACCAAGGCUUUGACGGGUAGCCGGCCUGAGAGGGUGACCGGCCAAAUUGGGACUGAGAUACGGCCCAGACUCCUACGGGAGGCAGCAGUGGGGAAUAUUGCACAAUGGGCGGAAGCCUGAUGCAGCAACGCCGCGUGCGGGAUGACGGCCUUCGGGUUGUAAACCGCUUUCGCCUGUGACGAAGCGUGAGUGACGGUAAUGGGUAAAGAAGCACCGGCUAACUACGUG
rnacentral:rRNA from 1 species